AAAAAAUGUUUAUUAUUAUUAGUUAUAUAUUCAGAGCCUUUCCUGAAUAACUAACAAUGAAAUACAGCUUAUACCAUACAUAAACUGUAUUGUUUAUUAUAAUUUCCAGACCUUUAGGAAAUUAUCCCUUACUUGUCAAAUGUUUUCCUAUUUAAUCCUAUUUAUUACAAAAUGACAAACGUUAACAGUAAACAUGAACUUCAAUGAACAAUUUCAAUAAUCCUAACUUUAAAAGAUAAACUAGAAAUAAAGCUUUAAAAGAGUCCGCUAAAAAUGAAAUAUUCCUUUUAAACUUUGAAAACGCUAACUUUACUAUUUUCCUUUACAAUUUAACCUUUAAAAAAAUGAAGUUUCUAAGGAAAAUAAACCAUUUUUACUGAAAUAAUUUACGAGCAAAUAAAAUACCAACUGUAAGAACCAAAAGUUUUAGCAGAACUGACGACCAAGCGUCGAAAUUACGUCAAUGUUGGAUUGUUGGAUUGUUGGAUGGUUGGAUG
rnacentral:lncRNA from 1 species